rnacentral:rRNA from 1 species
AGUGAACGCUGGCGGUAGGCCUAACACAUGCAAGUCGAACGGCAGCACAGUAAGAGCUUGCUCUUACGGGUGGCGAGUGGCGGACGGGUGAGGAAUACAUCGGAAUCUACUUUUUCGUGGGGGAUAACGUAGGGAAACUUACGCUAAUACCGCAUACGACCUACGGGUGAAAGCAGGGGAUCUUCGGACCUUGCGCGAUUGAAUGAGCCGAUGUCGGAUUAGCUAGUUGGCGGGGUAAAGGCCCACCAAGGCGACGAUCCGUAGCUGGUCUGAGAGGAUGAUCAGCGACACUGGAACUGAGACACGGUCCAGACUCCUACGGGAGGCAGCAGUGGGGAAUAUUGGACAAUGGGCGGAAGCCUGAUCCAGCCAUACCGGGUGGGUGAAGAAGGCCUUCGGGCUGUAAAGCCCUUUUGUUGGGAAAGAAAAGCAGCAGGUUAAUACCCCGCUGUUCUGACGGUACCCAAAGAAUAAGCACCGGCUAACUUCGUG